rnacentral:piRNA from 1 species
GGGAUGGUAUUGGGGAAUUGUGUCUG